rnacentral:tRNA from 1 species
CAUUAGAUAACUUAAAGCAAGUAUAGGUCUCUUAAACCAUAUCAUAAUAAAUUAGCGUCUAUUUCUAAUGA